UACAGAGGUCCCAAGCGUUGUUCGGAUUCAUUGGGCGUAAAGGGUGCGCAGGCGGUUCUGCAAGUCAGGCGUGAAAUCCCCGGGCUUAACCUGGGAAUGGCGCUUGAAACUACGGGACUGGAGUAUGGCAGAGGGAGGUGGAAUUCCACGUGUAGCGGUGAAAUGCGUAGAGGUGUGGAGGAACACCGAUGGCGAAGGCAGCCUCCUGGGCCAAUACUGACGCUCAUGCACGAAAGCGUGGGGAGCAAACAGG
rnacentral:rRNA from 1 species